GUAGUCCACGCUGUAAACGAUGAUUACUAGGUGUGGGGGGUCUGACCCCUUCCGUGCCGGAGUUAACACAAUAAGUAAUCCACCUGGGGAGUACGGCCGCAAGGUUGAAACUCAAAGGAAUUGACGGGGGCCCGCACAAGCAGUGGAUUAUGUGGUUUAAUUCGAAGCAACGCGAAGAACCUUACCAGGUCUUGACAUCCCUAGCAUAACCCAGAGAUGGGUGAAGCCCUUCGGGGCUAGGUGACAGGUGGUGCAUGGUUGUCGUCAGCUCGUGUCGUGAGAUGUUGGGUUAAGUCCCGCAACGAGCGCAACCCUUACUAUUAGUUGCUACGCAAGAGCACUCUAAUGGGACUGCCGUUGACAAAACGGA
rnacentral:rRNA from 1 species